UACGUAGGGGCGAGCGUUGUCCGGAAUGAUUGGGCGUAAAGGGCGCGCAGGCGGCCUGUCAAGUCAGUAGUGGAAGUCCAUUUUUCAAGGAUGGAAGUGCUAUAGAAACUGAUGGGCUUGAGUGCAGGAGAGGUUAUCGGAAUUCCCGGUGUAGCGGUGAAAUGCGUAGAGAUCGGGAGGAACACCAGUGGCGAAGGCGGGUAACUGGACUGCAACUGACGCUGAGGCGCGAAAGUGUGGGGAGCAAACAGGAUUAGAUACCCGGGUAGU
rnacentral:rRNA from 1 species